rnacentral:pre_miRNA from 1 species
AGUGGAAUAGCUGGGUCAAAUGGUGAUCCCAUUCCCAAUUUUCUGAGGACUCUCCAUACUGCUUCCCAUAGUGGUUGCACCAAUUUGCCUUCCUAUCAGCAAU